rnacentral:rRNA from 1 species
GAUGAACGCUAGCUACAGGCUUAACACAUGCAAGUCGAGGGGUCUUGACGGAGCUUGCUCUUGAUAGACGACCGGCGCACGGGUGAGUAACGCGUAUCCAACCUGCCCUUCAUAUUGGGAUAGCCUUCCGAAAGGGAGAUUAAUACCGAAUAACAUAUCAAGAUUGCAUGAUAUUGAUAUGAAAGAUCCGUCGAUGAAGGAUGGGGAUGCGUUUCAUUAGGUAGUAGGCGGGGUAACGGCCCACCUAGCCAACGAUGAAUAGGGGUUCUGAGAGGAAGGUCCCCCACACUGGAACUGAGACACGGUCCAGACUCCUACGGGAGGCAGCAGUGAGGAAUAUUGGUCAAUGGGCGCAAGCCUGAACCAGCCAAGUAGCGUGGAGGAUGACUGCCCUAUGGGUUGUAAACUUCUUUUUUACGGGAACAAAUGUUGCUACGUGUAGCAAUUUGCGUGUACCGUACGAAUAAGCAUCGGCUAACUCCGUGCCAGCCGCCACCGUAAUAC